CAUAGCUCAAGUUACAUUCAAAAUUGCGAGACAAAUAUCAUUCAUCAUCAUUUUGAAAAGAAUGCCAUUGUCAAAUUCGAGGAUUCCAAAUUCUACAUCAUCCGCCGCUUAAGGUUAUCAUAUGUCCAUUACAAGAAAAUUCCAAGUACAAAAUCAUUACAUUCCAUCCACCAACAACAUCACAAAAAUCAAGUACUUUGCAUAGAGACAUUACAUCCAAAAAAAGAUCACAAAGGAACCUAUCCUAAACCUAUUGUUUCCAAACUCCUAAUCUUCAAGUUUCGGCAUACACCAUCAAUUUCCAAACCUUCAAGUGAAUCCAUCUUCAUAUUCACCUCGAUGGCUUCACUAUCAAGAUCCAUCUUUGGCCCAUACAAUUUAACUUGA